CGCCCUGCCUAAGAUGUGUCAAGUAUAACGAACGGCACAAGACGCCUUGCUUCACUGAUGGUAGACGGAGGACGGGAUGAGAAACACGACGUAUAACGCUAGCUAUUAGACCGAGGAUGACUCCAGGAAAUCCUGAAUUGAUAGCGGAAUGUAGUGUGAACCGCACGGCACAAAGGGGAGGGACGGUCUUGCUCUCACCUAUACUAUGGAUCCGCUCGUGCGUAGCUAGUUGGUAAAGUGACCGGUUAUCAGAGGAGCUAUGCACUUCCCGGCUGGGAGGGUGUAUCGGCCACACAGGAACUGAAACACAGACCAGACUCCGACGGGAAGGAACAUGAUGGAAUCCUCCGCAAUGGGCGAGAGACCUGACAUAUCUACACCGCGUGAGGGAUGAAAGUCUUCGGAACGGGCAACUGUGUUAUUAAGGAAUAACAUAUGUGUUAGUAAGUGUGCGCGUCUGGACGGUACCUAAUCAGAGAGCCACGGUUAACUACGUGCCAGCAGCAGCGAUAAUACAUAGGUGGUAAGCGUUAUCCAGAGGUAUUGAAGCGUACAGAGAGCUUAUGCGGUUUUUUAAGUCUGAUGUGAAAGCCCACGGCUCAACCGUGGAGGGUCAUUGGAAACUGGAAAACUUGAGUGCAGAAGAGGAAAGUGGAAUUCCAUGUGUAGCGGUGAAAUGCGCAGAGAUAUGGAGGAACACCAGUGGCGAAGGCGACUUUCUGGUCUGUAACUGUCGCUGAUGUGCGAAAGCGUGGGGAUCAAACAGGAUUAGAUACCCUGGUAGUCCACGCCGUAAACGAUGAGUGCUAAGUGUUAGGGGGUUCCGCCCCUUAGUGCUGCAGCUAACGCAUUAAGCACUCCGCCUGGGGAGUACGACCGCAAGGUUGAAACUCAAAGGAAUUGACGGGGACCCGCACAAGCGGUGGAGCAUGUGGUUUAAUUCGAAGCAACGCGAAGAACCUUACCAAAUCUUGACAUCCUUUGACAACUCUAGAGAUAGAGCUUUCCCCUUCGGGGGACAAAGUGACAGGUGGUGCAUGGUUGUCGUCAGCUCGUGUCGUGAGAUGUUGGGUUAAGUCCCGCAACGAGCGCAACCCUUAAGCUUAGUUGCCAUCAUUAAGUUGGGCACUCUAAGUUGACUGCCGGUGACAAACCGGAGGAAGGUGGGGAUGACGUCAAAUCAUCAUGCCCCUUAUGAUUUGGGCUACACACGUGCUACNAUGGGCAAUACAAAGGGCAGCGAAACCGUGAGGUCAAGCAAAUUCCCAUAAUUUGUUCUCAGUUNCGAUUGUAGUCUGCAACUCGACUACAUGAAGCUGGAAUCGCUAGUAAUCGUAGAUCAGCAUGCUACGGUGAAUACGUUUCCGGGGUCU
rnacentral:rRNA from 1 species